rnacentral:misc_RNA from 1 species
CGUGACUAAGUAAAUGUUUUGACUAGGGGCCAAUUCGAAAACUUCAAUCUUCAAUAUUUCGAAAACGGAGGAAGGUAUCGAAAACUUUUACUUAUUAUUUUAGUCCUAUCUUGGGCCAUUGUGCCCAAAUCCGUCAUCAGAUCGCGGGCACACGUAAAACGCAACGAAAUACAAGUUUUGAAUGUGGGCCAAUUCGAAAACUUCAACCUUCGAUAUUUCGAAAACAAAAGGAGAUUUCGAAAUAUUCCUCUUUUUAUUUUAGUCGUCUUUUAGGCCAUUAUACGAGAAUCCAUCAUCAAAUCGUGGGGUCACGGAAACCAUAAUCGUGCUCUACUAGUUUCCGCAGAUCCGCAGUGGUUGUAUUAGGUAAGUUCCGUUUAGGGUUCACGAGGCUCGCGAAGUCUUCCGUUUGGCGUCUAAUAGCUGCGUUCCUUUCCAUCUAAUAGUUGCGUGCGGUAUGGCGCCCGCGAGCUUGACAAAGCCAACUUGACGAUGACGUCGAAUAACAUUUCCUUUGCUUUUCAACUUUUAAUUGUCAAAACGAAAUUUUGAGAAGGUAAUUAUUGAGCAAAUACUUUAUGUUAACCUUCUACGUGACCGUUCUACGUGAUCAGGAAAAUCGCCUCGACUCCUCGAGCAAUCACAAAUUCAAACAAGCAAACAAACAGUACUUUGUGUAAUUUAACAGCGAGCAAAACGCGCUUGUCGUCGCGGACCUUGCGAGGCUCGCGAGCGCCAAAGGGUUCAAGUAUUGAAUAUCAACAUUCCAAGCCCAUGUCGUAUUUGUGUCAUACUGUAUAAACUAAGCAUUGCGAAGUAACUUGUUCGGUCGUAAGGUGGUUAUUUAGUAGAAAUAAUCUACAGAUUUAUGAGAGCAUUCGGUUUGACUAAUGUCCUUUGAAUGUUCUCAUCGAUAAAGUAAUAGCUGGAUUGGAUUAGAAUUUCUGGGAUUCAGUGCGGAUAUAUGUGGCAAGAGUAGGACGUUUCGACGUUAUAAAUUUAGAUAUAUUAAAUCAACUCUUAUAGAGCAAAUGGAGAAGAUUCCAAUCUUCAACAGUGUUGAAGAUGAGUGCCGAUAUUGGAAGGAAAGAGCAAAAUUUUAUUAUAAAGAGUGGACUGAUACUAAACAGGAGUUCGAUGAGUAUGUGGAGGACUCAAAACAGCUGGAAGCGGAAAUGGAAGCGACUGCAGAACAGAAGGAAAACGUUAUAAGGGACUUACGAAAACAAAUUACUUUUCAUGAAAAUGAAUGCGAAUCUUUCAGAGUCAAAUUGGAAUCAAUUGCAUUGGAAUUUAAAAAUGCCGAAAAACAGUUGAUGAGCGCACAAGUAGAAAAGGAGAACAUGAAAAAAUAUUUAAGACAGUUAGAGCAGCAAAACGAUGACCUGGAACGAGGGUAUAGAAUUUUGAGUGAAAGCAUUGCAGGUGUUAAAACUGAUCUUGACAAGGCAUAUGAGAAAAAUGCCCUUCUGGAAAUAGAAGUUGAUGAAAAAGAAUUUCUCCAAGAAAAAUUACAACGACUUAUGGACGAAACGAGAGAUCUAAAGCAAGAACUACAUGUGAAAGAUAGAUUACCUUGUAUGAAUAGAAACAGCUUAUCUGAUUUGAUAUAUACCGAUGAUACAGUCAACGUAGUUGAAGCAAACUCUCAAGGUGGCGCGCAUACACGAUCAUUAAAACUAUACGGAAUUGAGGAUAUUCCUUUAUGCUUGAAAUGGAUAGUACCUCCUGAUAAUACACUGAAUGGCAAUGUUCUAUCUGCAAGUUCCAGAACAACAGCGUUAAAUAUUGUAGCUGAUAUGCUACGGAAACUUAAUGCAUGGAGGCGUUCGUCGAACGGUUCCCAUAGAUUAGAAAUGAAAUGAAUGAAAACAUGUUUUUCUGAUACACAAAUCUCUAUCAGGCAAUGGAAUCAAAACUAAAGGAUUAUCGAGAACAUGUCCCGGGUCCUAGGCAAUGAUAUUAUCUGCUUGAUGUCAAUAAACUGCUGAUACCACCUACCAUUCCAAUAGCAGUAAACACUUACAGACAACUUUACUGUUGUUAAUUUGUUACAAUUGAAGGUCAAUAAAGGUAACUUCAGUUACUUUAAGACAAAAGUUCUAUCAAUAAAUAUUGUCCGUGCAAGA